CUGCAUAUUUAAGAUGCAAAAUGGAUCUGGUUGAAAGUGGACACAGAUCAACAACUGCAGGAAAAAAGCUUGACCAGGAAGAAGGCUAUUUGCUUUUAGAUAUCUCAAACAAAUCUUCAGACACAUGCUUUGAGGGGAAACAGCAAAACCAUUAAUUUUUUUCUUCAGAUACUAUGUUCUUAAGAACAAUUGAUUCCCAUUUUUUGAUAUUCUUUUGUAGAGAAACUGCUUUCGACAAGCAAAUAAGCUGGGCCAAGAACUGCAAGCUGGAGGCAGUGUGGGGGCAAAGCUACGGCUGCAGUGGCUGCUUUGGGAGAAAUACAGACCUGACCUCCACUACAUGGCCAAAAAAAAAAAAAAGGAGACUGCUUGCCCUCCCUUCAGUCGCUGGGCGUGGAGCAGGGAAGCAGUUCCUUACCCUGCCCUAUUCAGAGGACACAAAGAAUGGUGAAACAUCCAGUUUGGUAAAUCGUUGUUCACAGUCACUUAGCAGCCGGACAAAGCCGAGGGAGGGUGCUUGCUGAUCGCUUCCCAUCCUCCUGACAAUGGCGCUUGAGAGGGCGUAAGAAAGCAUCUUUUCCCUGUGCAGUCGGCUUAUAGAGGAGCCUGGGUGCUCAGGAAGAGGAGGCAGUUGUUUCAUAUAGGUCUUUGAAGGAAAACAUUACUGCACAACAGAGCAAUUCCAGAGAUAGUGGGUUUUUUUUCUUGUUUUUUUUUUUUUUUAAAGGCUCCCCUGAGCAAGGGGGAGAGAACAUUGACAAAGCUUUGUGUAGCAGGCUGCAUUAUAGAUAAGAGCAUGACAGCUCCUUCAAGACUAAAAAGCUCUGCGGGAUCCCCUAAAAACUUAAGUGAUUCAAACAAAUAUGUAGCUUCAAGCAUUUUCAUGGCACGUUAAUGGCCUGAAUGGUGUUAUGAAAAAAAUUCUUGACUCUGUGGUGUUAUCAAAGACGGAGACAGCUGGGUUACAAGAGUUGUUUGCAGCUGAAACGCACUUCAAAGUUGGAGAACUCUUAUGGUGGCAGCAGCUGAAGAUGAAACGGCAACUUGCCUUCCUCUCCCCCUCCCCUUCCCCCCUUUCCUGUAACGGCCUAAACAUGCAACAGAGGUAAGGUGAAGGCAGCAAACAGCCCCUGUUCAGUUCCUUAGAGCCCCCUAUGUCUGGGGUCAGCAUCUUCCCUGUAAUGUAGAAACCAGGGCAUUGGACUGAGGAACAAGCCUUGAGCCAACCUGCUUCAUCAUUGACACUUACGGGUAGGGUUUAGACCAGAGCAUCAAUAAAACUUUCUCUAAAGUGCUUUUAAAUGUGCA
rnacentral:lncRNA from 1 species